UACGUAGGGUGCAAGCGUUUAAUCGGAAUUACUGGGCGUAAAGCGUGCGCAGGCGGUUUUGUAAGUCUGUCGUGAAAGCCCCGGGCUCAACCUGGGAAUUGCGAUGGAGACUGCAAGGCUUGAAUCUGGCAGAGGGGGGUAGAAUUCCACGUGUAGCAGUGAAAUGCGUAGAGAUGUGGAGGAACACCGAUGGCGAAGGCAGCCCCCUGGGUCAAGAUUGACGCUCAUGCACGAAAGGCGUGGGGAGCAAACAGG
rnacentral:rRNA from 1 species